GGGAUCUUAGCUCAGCUGGGAGAGCAUCUGCCUUACAAGCAGAGGGUCAUAGGUUCGAGCCCUAUAGGACCCA
rnacentral:tRNA from 1 species